rnacentral:piRNA from 1 species
UCUGUUCCUAAGGAUUGGCGAGCAGCUAA